ACCGUUUGACACAGCUUUACUUUAUACACAAAUUUUUAAUUUUUAUCUUGUAACUUUUUGAUUUUUCUACUUUUUCCUUUAUAAAUUCUAAAACCUGGAAUAAAAUGUAUUUUGACCAACAGAAAAAGCAGAUGGAAAUAAACAAGCCUCACUCUUUGUUUUCCUAUGUUUUGUGGAUAUAUUUUACAUCCUGAUGAUCAGAGUGUUUGACGGUUUCAAAGACCCCCACUCAGAAAAACAACCAGAAAAACAUCACAGCUGAGUCUGGACAGAACGUCACUCUGCCAUGUCGAGCUCCAAAUAACAACAAGCCCAUAGUGGUAAAGUGGAGCAGGCAUGAACAGGGACAGUAUGUCUUGAUGUACCGAGAUGAACAGUUUGAUCCAGACGACCAGCAUCCAUCUUUUAAGAACCGGGUGGAUCUGCAGGACAGACAGAUGAAGGAUGGAGACCUGUCUUUGAUUCUGAACAAUGUGACAAUUAAUGACACUGGAAUUUACAGAUGUGGUAUUGUUGAGGGAGUCAGACAACCUAUGAAGCUCAUCAGCAUCAUCUACCUUCAUGUUGAUCCUCCAGGUCAGACAGGAGGACACACAGAGGAUGGAGGGAAGACGAAUGGAUCUGUUGGACCCAAAGUUGGUCUGCCAGUCUCUGCUGUGCUUCUUGUUGCUGCUCUUGUUGUUGUUGUUUUGACCUAAAGGAAACAUAAGAGUUAAAACAGAGUCAGAUUUCAUACCAGCCUUCUAGUGAUUUGUGGCAGAUUUGAGAUCAGUUCAACAUGCAGAAUGACAGAUGAAAGAACGGCAGAAACAGCUGACAAUAAUAAUAAAUCAGCCGACAGAGGUCAUUAAACAACUACUGAAUUUGUUCUUCAGUGUUUUUGUGCAAGACAAACAUUUAAUCAAAGAUCAGUGCACUCUACCACCUGAAGACUAACACUGUGAUCACACUUGAACAGACAGAUGGCCAUGUUAGUCAUAAAAAGGUUCAGUAUAAUCCAACAUUAAGACAGUAAAGACAAAUCACACAGAGAUCCUGUGCAGCUUGAAUAAUAAUCAGAAAAAAUAAAGAUGACUGACAGUGCAUUAUUAACACUUGUAACAGUGAAUAAAUGUCUAAUAUCAAUAGACUAGUCUAAAACAGCUACACCGAAGUAGUCUGGUAACUGACAGCAUUUUUUACCUGCUGUAUUUCUUUUUAAUAUUAUCUUUAAAUUCUUCAUCACAAAUGAGUCAUCUAUGACACAACAGCAGUUCAAUAUUUCAGUUGAAGCAGUACAACAUUUAUGGAGUAAAGAAGACUGAUAUUGAUCAGAAUAUAUUUAUAGUUUCUCUUUCUGUAUUUUUCAGUGAUUUAGUGGAAUUUGUGUCAAGAAGAAAAACUCUGCUGCAUAAAUUGAUUCAUUUUGUUUCCUCUUUUGCAACAGCAUCUAAGCCAGUCACUAAAAUAAAGGUACAGUUUGGCAAAUAUUAAAGUAGUAUUGGUUUCCUUUUUGUUUUCAACAGAAAGGAUUUUGUUUAAACUUAUUCAUGUCCAUGAUUUCAGUGUCCUGUAUGUAAGAGUAUCAGAAUCAGUGACUGUGUUUUAUCUUCAGGUUUUAUCAAAAAAGACUAGAAAUCAGCAGUAUUACAGUAUUAUGUCUGUCUGAUCCACCUGACCACAAACACACUGCAUGUGAUUAUCUAAGUGUUGAUCUGUGAGUUACAGUAGUAACAUACAGUGUUUACUGUUUGCUAUAAUUUAACAUGAGAGCGACAAAAAAAACUGACAUCUUCUGCUCACUGACACUUUAACACCAGCUGAACUUGAAUCCAACCAGUUUCCUCAGUUUUAACAUGUACUGGUGUGCAGUGAUGCACUGGUGCACCAGUCACCUUUCCCAUAUCAUUGACUGACACAAAUGUUAGACUGACUUUAUGUACUGAUCAAUAAAUGAUCUGCAUCCUUCAGCCUCGUGUUCUUCUCAGCUGUCUCAUCAUCUUUAUCAGACUCUACACAUCAUUUGUAAAUAUUACUCAGAUGAUCAGUCCUCUCUGUCUCUGUUGUAGUGAAAUAACACUGGACUUAGUAAGAAGCUGUUAAGGUUUUGAAGAAAUACUAAAGUCUUUGAUGACUGGAAAAUUUUAGGAACUAAAGGAACCCCCCUUCCCUUUACUGCGGAGCCAGUGUUUGGUUUUGUUGUUAAAAUUACAGGAGACAAUCUUGCUUUAAAUGGCUUACUAGGUUUUGUAGAAUCGCCAUCAAAUGAUUGAUGUCAUAUCUCAGAGACAAUCUUACAAUACCAUCUUUUAC